CACGUAGGGUGCGAGCGUUGUCCGGAAUUACUGGGCGUAAAGAGCUCGUAGGCGGUUUGUCGCGUCGUCUGUGAAAUUCUGCAACUCAAUUGCAGGCGUGCAGGCGAUACGGGCAGACUUGAGUACUACAGGGGAGACUGGAAUUCCUGGUGUAGCGGUGAAAUGCGCAGAUAUCAGGAGGAACACCGGUGGCGAAGGCGGGUCUCUGGGUAGUAACUGACGCUGAGGAGCGAAAGCGUGGGUAGCGAACAGG
rnacentral:rRNA from 1 species